CACACUAACCGGCCGCACCUCCACGUCUGGCCGAUGAGCCGCCUCCCCACCUUCCGCCGACGAGCCGCCUCCCCACCUCCCGCCGACGAGCCGCCUCCCCACCUCCCGCCGAUGAGCCGCCUCCCCACCUCCCGCCGACGAGCCGCCCACACCUCCCGUCGACGAGCAGCCCCCACCUCCCGCCGACGUGCCGCCCUCCACCUCCAGCCGACGCGCUGCCCCCGACCUCCAGCUGACGCACCGUCCCCCACCUCCCGCCGACGCGCUGCUCCCUCCACCUUCCGGUGACGAGCCGCUCUCCGACCUCCCACCAAAGCGCCGCCGCCUUGAUCCGCCCGGUGUAGGCGUCCCUCCUCUCUACCACCUCUCCUGCAUCGACACUUCCCGGCGUCUCACCCCGGCCCUCCACACGCCAUUUUCCGUGGUCGUCGGCGCCACACAAGCUUCUGCGGCCGCCGCGCCUCCUGGAUCCAACGAGGCUGCGUCGCACUGGCCUCGGAUCCGCCCGCCUCCACACCGUCACCUGCCGACCCCGGCCCCGGCCCCGGAUCCCCCUCCAACCAAAUUCCUGCCAUGGACGAGUUCUGGUUAUCUGGAUUGGUCUUGAUAAAGGUUUCAUACAGGAUACAGCUUAAGCUGGAGUUCGUCGCUAAGCAGGAAACGUGGUUAUCAAUUAUCUUGUAUACAAAAGGUUUGGGAAUGGAUCUUCUAAUGAAAGCUGGAGCAGAAGAAGAAGUCCAGGAGGGAGAGAUGGAGAUGUGAGCAUGUAUACAUACGUUCUGGAGACACUAGACUUAUUUGGUGGUGUGUGUGUGCUGCUGUAUCCUCUUCCGGCCACUCUAAUCUACACCCUUAGUACAAGACGAUGCAACGCCAAG